rnacentral:rRNA from 1 species
AAUAUGUGACAAUGGGGGCAACCCUAAUCCAGCCAUGCCGCGUGUGUGAAGAAGGACCUCGGAUUGUAAAGCACUUUAAGUUGGGAGGAUGGGCUUUAGGUUAAUACCCCGAAACUUUGACGUUACCAACAGAAUAAGUACCGGCUAACUCUGUGCUAGCAGCCGCAGUAAUACAGAGGGUGCAAGCGUUAAUCGGAAUUACUGGGCUUAAAGCGGGCGUAGGUGGUUCAGUAAGAUGGGUGUGAAAUCCCCGGGCUUAACCUGGGAACUGCUUUCAUAACUGCUAAGCUAGAGUACGGUAGAGGGUAGUGGAAUUUCCUGUGUAGCGGUGAAAUGCGUAGAUAUAGGAAGGAACACCAGUGGCGAAGGCGACUACCUGGACUGAUACUGACACUGAGGUGCGAAAGCGUGGGGAGCAAA